rnacentral:rRNA from 1 species
GACGAACGCUGGCGGCGUGCUUAACACAUGCAAGUCGAACGGAAAGGCCCUGCUUUUGUGGGGUGCUCGAGUGGCGAACGGGUGAGUAACACGUGAGUAACCUGCCCUUGACUUUGGGAUAACUUCAGGAAACUGGGGCUAAUACCGGAUAGGAGCUCCUGCUGCAUGGUGGGGGUUGGAAAGUUUCGGCGGUUGGGGAUGGACUCGCGGCUUAUCAGCUUGUUGGUGGGGUAGUGGCUUACCAAGACUUUGACGGGUAGCCGGCCUGAGAGGGUGACCGGCCACAUUGGGACUGAGAUACGGCCCAGACUCCUACGGGAGGCAGCAGUGGGGAAUAUUGCACAAUGGGCGGAAGCCUGAUGCAGCAACGCCGCGUGCGGGAUGACGGCCUUCGGGUUGUAAACCGCUUUCGCCUGUGACGAAGCGUGAGUGACGGUAAUGGGUAAAGAAGCACCGGCUAGCUACGUG